CACGCCGCAAUGGGUUCGUCUUGUGUAUUUCUCGAUCGGGAGGACGACGACACCGAAAACAAUUCAAAAGGCGACGUGCGAACGACGACCGUACCGAGGAGCCGACUGACGGACCGGAUUGCUUGGCGGUGCGACUAGGUGUAAAUCUUCGUCUUAUACAGAGUGGCUAAGAAUGCAGAGUUGCGACGGCGGCGCUAGGUUGCACGCUCCGGUAGGCUAAUAUCUUUAGAUAUCGUUUAGGAACAUUUCGUCACAGGGAUGAAAGGCAAGCUAUAUAUGUGCAUGGAAUCUACAGUUCCUAGCAGAAUCGCUGAAGACAGUAAAAUUGUGGCUGGAAAAAUUCAAUUUCUCUCGGCUUUGUUAAUCUUCCAUAAAACAAACGGAUGUUUAUUUACCAACAAUUAUAGUUCUAAAUCAUCGGUGUAGUGUCAUUGAAUGACGAGGUUUGCUGUUGAUCUCUGUAAUUCCACGAAGCAGCAAUACUCAUGUUGGCGCAUCUAACAGAAGAUAGCGACACUAUCGACUUUUUACAGCUGCAACAUGUUUCUUUUAAAUUAAUUUGGCUUAAAAUUCCGCGCAAGCCAUCUAUUUUAUGUUUAGUUUACGAAACACUUGACAAGAUUAAUUUUAUCGUUAUUGUUGUUUUCCACGUAUUUAUCUAUUUGAAUGCUUUAUAAAGUGUUAUAGAUUUAAUUGAGCCCAGAAACUUGGCUCAACUGAUAAUAAUAAUGGGUCGAUUCUGUUUUGCGAUGUUACUGUUAUUUUUAGUUUAUUACUAUUAAUAUUGCUGUUUUUGACACUGUAUGAUAUAAAGAGUCAAUGCAAAGAAACAUUUUAUAUAUGACAAAUAAUAGUUAAAAUUAAUGAAACAUUGGAGUACAGAAUCGAUUCAGUAAUGAACCUAAAAGCAACGAAAUUUAUGUUAUAAACUUAUUGUAAGAGGUUGCGUGCGAUAGAUUUAUAUGUCACAAGUAGGUUCUUGCAAAAGUUUCGCGGUUUUCCACUUUGUUUCUGCCUUGUCGGUCUUGAUCAAUCGUCGCAUCGUCCAGAGGGUCGCUGGCGGUUUAAAACUUGUUGUGGGUAGAUUCUGCACUACAUGCCAGUGCGAUAAAUAACAUUUAGUUUUAAUAUGGUUGUACUGAAUCGACCCAUUAAUCAGGCGUUAAACUGCCAAAUUGGUAUUGUAAAUUUACUGUAUGUUAUUGCGCGUCCGUUUAUCGCUUUUAUGUCGGUCUUCCUGAGCAAUCAUUGAAUCGCUUAUCUACGCAAUCUUAAAAUUCGCGUUUCGGUGCAGUAGAUGUUUAUCGUACAAGUCGGGACUUGUGUAAUUUUCUUUAUUUUCUGUUUUCUGGCGUGGCGUUAUAUUGUGAUUUAUAAUUACAAGUCGAAAUUUUGUUUAAUCGUGCAAACAUGUGGCAAAGUGUUUGUUUUCAAUUUAAUUGCGUUCAGGAGUAGCAGAAAACUUGCGAUUUAACGGUACCGGUAACAAAAUGAUGUAUUGAAACUACCCAAAACUUAAGUUAUAAAUGUACUUCGUCUGAAAAGGCUAUCUUAACUUGUACAUUUGAUUUUGUUGAGAAAAACUGCACCAGACUUGUCUACUUAGUUCAAUUGAGCAAGACAACGCAAGUUCAACAGUAACUGUGGCAAAACAUACGCUUUAUAUUUAUAGGGCCCAAAAAUAUGUACAGAUUUGUAUUAUUAUUGUAAUAUGUGGUAAUCUGUGGUCUGUGAUAAAUGUGCACGCAUCUUGUUAUGCUUUGUAGAACUGUGGGUGGCGGUGUAGACUGUAUACCUAUUUUUUAUACCUAUGUAGUAUUGUCGUGUACUAUGUCUAUCUUCUUGUUAAUUCUUGAAUUAACAUGCCCCUUUGACAUCCUGUAGAAUUGUACCGUUUGAAGUGUAGACUUCUUGGACUUCUUUUCGUGCAAUUUGAAAGAAAAUAUGUGAUUAUAUGACAAAUAUAUACUUUAGUUUAC